AUUGAACGCUGGCGGCAGGCCUAACACAUGCAAGUCGAGCGGAAGAAGGGAGCUUGCUCCUGGAUUCAGCGGCGGAAGGGUGAGUAAUGCCUAGGAAUCUGCCUGGUAGCGGGGGAUAACGUCCGCAAACGGGCGCUAAUACCACAUACGUCCAGAGGCAGCAAGUGGGGGAUCUUCGGACCUCUCGCUCUCAGAUGAGCGUAGGUCGGAGUAGCUAGCUGGUGGGGUAAAGGCCUACUAAGCCGACCAUCCGUAACUGGUCUGAGAGGAUGAUCAGUCACACGGGAAGUGAGACACGGUCCAGACGCCUACGGGAGGCAGCAGAGGGGAAUGUUGGACAAAGGGCGAGAGCCUGAUCCAGCCAUGCCGAGUGUGUGGAGAAGGUCUUCGGAGUGUAAAGCACUUUAAGUUGGGAGGAAGGGCAGUAAGUUGAUACCUUGCUGUAUUGACGUUACCAACAGAAUAAGCACCGGCUAACUUCGUG
rnacentral:rRNA from 1 species